GCUGUUCAUCCUCUGUGGGAGAUGUGCUUCAUGGUGAUGGCACUACCAAAUCUGGUCAUGCGAUCUGGAUAUUAUUCACAGAACAGGACUCAACACCGGCAGAGAGGGAAAGAGGGAGAUAUAUAUAUAGCGAGAGAGGAAGAGAGAGAAGGAGAGGGAGAAAGGCAAAAGAGAGAGGGUGAUGGAGGAAAGUAGAAUUCAGAACCACACAUACAGGAGCUGGUAUUAGCCAAGUAUUGUACUUGUUUCCGAUGGACACUGGACUAUGGGUUUGAGGAGAAUAACUUUGUUAUCACUUUCAGCUGAUGAUCCUACAGUGUUACCAUACCACCAUAAGAGGAAAAACAUGAAUGUGUCAUGAAACUGAACAGGGGUGAUAGGAUAAGAACAUGGCUUCUAUCUCCCACACAGUCUACACCCAGUUUACUAUUGCUAAUUACUAUUGCUAUUGCUACUACUAAUAUGCACCUUAGCUGAUUUCUACCCCCCCCCCCCCCCAUCUCCAUUUCAAAAGGCACCAGUGCAGUGUCCCUGUCUCUCUGGUAAGUGAUCUGGCUCUGAUCUGAAGCAGUUCCACCAGAUCCAUGUCAGACUGAAGCCAGGUUUGACUCAGGUCUGCGCCACCUCUCUCUUCAUAGCCAGCUUCUCUCUAGGAUGACAGCAGUCAUCAACCACGUCAUAUGCAUAAUGGAUUAGGAAUGCACUUUAUGAAUAACUCAUAGAUCCUUAUGGUUAAAACGUGUGAGGAUCUUCAGUGACCCUCUCUAUACCUCCCUCCUUCCAUCUUCCUCUCUUCAUCUCUUCUCCUCUUUUUUCUUUUCUUUUCUUCGUUCCUCUCACUCCAUCACUCUUCCUGUUUAUCCCAGCUGUAGCUCUGGCUGGGCGCUGACAUUCUAUGCUGCCGGAGUAUCCGGGGAGACGGCCUAUGUCUGGAUUUGUUUUUGUCACCUCAGCGACCACACACUAAGGAACCAUCUCUACUUCCUGAGAGGCAGAGAGGAGGAGGAGGAGACAAUAUGCUGAGCAACCUUUUCACCAUGCUGAGACAGUUCACUGAGAGCAACUUCCAGUCAUCGGCCAUGUUUGAUGUUACCGAGACGACAACGGACGCAGAGGGUGGGAGUUCAGAGAGCACUUUGGGCUCGUCCGUCACGGCCUGCAAGAAGGUACACAACUCAGUGUGUGUGUGUGUGUGUGUGUGUGACUGAUGUUUGCAUGAAUUAAUAGUGAGAUGGAUUAUUUGCCUUUCAUAAACUUAACAACAGGGCAGUAUAAAGAAAUGGAAAGAGUGAGAGACACACACAGUACAAGAGAGAGAUGGAGAGAAAGUGUGACAUGGAGAGAGUGAAAGACACAGAGAGAGCGAGAGAGGGCGACAGUGCUAGUUUGUGUGUUUAUGUGUGUGUGUGUGUUUGUGUGUGAGAGAGGGAGAGUGAUUGUUUGUGUGUGUUCAUGUGUGUGUAUGUUUAGGUGUGUGUGUGUGUGUGUGUGUGAGAGAGAGAGGGAGAGAGAGAUAUAUAUAGAGAGACAGAGAAGCUAAGUGUUGCUCUGGCUGUGUGCCACAUGCUUGCAUAGAGGUUCUCUGCUAACACACAGGUCAGUGCAGCCUGAGCUCUCACAACCCUGGGUCAACGCAUUACUUUGACAUCAGCAAAGGGCC
ensembl:lncRNA